AACGAACGCUGGCGGCAUGCCUAACACAUGCAAGUCGAACGAGACCUUCGGGUCUAGUGGCGCACGGGUGCGUAACGCGUGGGAAUCUGCCCUUAGGUUCGGAAUAACUUCGGGAAACUGAAGCUAAUACCGGAUGAUGACGUAAGUCCAAAGAUUUAUCGCCUAAGGAUGAGCCCGCGUAGGAUUAGCUAGUUGGUGAGGUAAAGGCUCACCAAGGCGACGAUCCUUAGCUGGUCUGAGAGGAUGAUCAGCCACACUGGGACUGAGACACGGCCCAGACUCCUACGGGAGGCAGCAGUGGGAAUAUGGACAAUGGGCGAAAGCCUGAUCCAGCAAUGCCGCGUGAGUGAUGAAGGCCUUAGGGUUGUAAAGCUCUUUUACCCGGGAUGAUAAUGACAGUACCGGGAGAAUAAGCUCCGGCUAAACUCCGUGCCAGCAGCCGCGGUAAU
rnacentral:rRNA from 1 species